rnacentral:rRNA from 1 species
UACGGGGGGGCAAGCGUUGUUCGGAAUUACUGGGCGUAAAGGGCUCGUAGGUGGCCAACUAAGUCAGACGUGAAAUCCCUCGGCUUAACCGGGGAACUGCAUCUGAUACUGGAUGGCUUGAAUUCGGGAGAGGGAUGCAGAAUUCCAGGUGUAGCGGUGAAAUGCGUAGAUAUCUGGAGGAAUACCGGUGGCGAAGGCGGCAUCCUGGACCGACAUUGACGCUGAACGGCGAAAGCUAGGGGAGCAAACGGG